rnacentral:rRNA from 1 species
UACCAGCACCCCGAGUGGUCGGGACGAUUAUUGGGCCUAAAGCAUCCGUCGCCGGUUCUACAAGUCUUCCGUUAAAUCCACCUGCUUAACAGAUGGGCUGCGGAGGAUACUAUAGAGCUAGGAGGCGGGAGAGGCAAGCGGUACUUAGUGGGUAGGGGUAAAAUCCGUUGAUCCAUUGAAGACCACCAGUGGCGAAGGCGGCUUGCCAGAACGCACUCGACGGUGAGGGAUGAAAGCUGGGGGAGCAAACCGG